rnacentral:tRNA from 2 species
GCCGAAAUAGCUCAGCUGGUAGAGCAACGCAUUCGUAAUGCGUAGGUCGCCGGUUCAAGUCCGGCUUUCGGCUCAA